GGGUGGCUAGCUCAGUUGGUAGAGCAACGGACUCUUAAUCCGUGGGUCCAGGGUUCGAGCCCCUGGCCACCCAUCA
rnacentral:tRNA from 2 species